rnacentral:lncRNA from 1 species
CCAGAAACAUCCUUUGCGUUCAACAGACCACGUGACUUGUUCGAGCUCGCGUUCUCGGGGGCAUCAGGUACGAGGUUGUAGGUGUAACGUCAAGCUCUAGGCGUCGUGUCGUUCUAUCCAAUAAAAAAGAAGGACAAAGACAGCGGUAGACGGAAAGUAGAAGAAAGACGAAGGAAGGAGAUCGAAAGAAGAGAGAAGGAGAUAAGGGAAGGGACCCAUUAGGUGUCCCCUGCCGCCUCCUCCUCUCUUCCUCUUCCUCUACCUCUACCUCCACCAUGCCGACCUGCCAGCCGCCGUUCCAGUGCUGUACAUGUUUUCUCUUGGCCCCGGGUUCUUCUUUUUAUGAAUCAUAAACAACUGAAAUAUGUUCUUUUUCAU